UAAAGGGGUCUUUGGACCUUAUGUGGGACAGCCAGACCCAUCAGAUCAAAGACACAUGACUUUAGCCGGGGUCUUUCUCUUAAGUCAGCUUUCCACUCUGUCAACUUUUUCCUUCUCUCUCUAAAAACUCAUCUUCUAAAUAUUGCUCUGCCUUCUCUCUAAAAUACCAUCCUGUUGAACCGUUCAAUUUUUGAAUCGGUGGUGCUCAAACGUUCACCGCGUCAAGGGCUCCAUAACGGACCGAACGGGUUCUUGUUCCAACCGGGUGUCUUUGAAUUUUGCUGUGAGGAGCACUAUUUAGAUCAUCCCUGUCAAGUAAACUGUGAAGUUUUCCAGAUCUUGUUGAGGAGGUUCCCUUGGAGCAAGAGUUGGAGGAUGCUGAUGAUGCAGUAUAGUAUUUUUAGGAUUUCUAAAUUUAAGUUGGUGUUAUUUUGAAGUACUCUAAACUGUUUAAGUUUUAAGUUAUGUCCUUUUGUGGAUGACUGUAAUAUCAGCUACUGAACUACUAUUCUACUCUCUAACUGUUCUUUUUAUUGGAAUGUGGACGCCUAAAUUAUAUGAUUGUGGUUAUUAU